ACAAAGAAGAGUUUGAUCCUGGCUCAGGAUGAACGCUAGCGGCAGGCUUAACACAUGCAAGUCGAGGGGCAGCGCGGGGUAGCAAUACUCUGGCGGCGACCGGCGGAAGGGUGCGUAACACGUGAGCAAC
rnacentral:rRNA from 1 species